rnacentral:rRNA from 1 species
CCUACGGGUGGCAGCAGUAGGGAAUCUUCCACAAUGGACGAAAGUCUGAUGGAGCAACGCCGCGUGAGUGAAGAAGGGUUUCGGCUCGUAAAGCUCUGUUGGUAGUGAAGAAAGAUAGAGGUAGUAACUGGCCUUUAUUUGACGGUAAUUACUUAGAAAGUCACGGCUAACUACGUGCCAGUAGCCGCGGUAAUACGUAGGUGGCAAGCGUUGUCCGGUUUUGUUGGGCGUAAAGCGAGUGCAGGCGGUACAAUAAGUCUGAUGUGAAAGCCGUCGGCGCAACCGGAGAAUUGCAUGAGAAACUGGUGGACUUGAGUGCAGAAGAGGAGAGUGGAACUCGAGGUGUAGCGGUGGAAUGCGUAGAUAUAUGGAAGAACACCAGUGGCGAAGGCGGCUCUCUGGUCUGCGACUGACGCUGAGGCUCGAAGGCAUGGGUAGCGAACAGGAUUAGAUACCCGUGUAGUC